ensembl:lncRNA
AGCUAUCAUAUCUUCCUAUGAAAGUCACAAGCAAGAGAUGAAUUGACAUCCUGUGUAGGAAAUUGAAUAGAAGAAAGAAAUCAAGUAGAAAUUCAAAUCUCUUCCCUGACUCUCCCAGGAACAUAUGAAAGUGACUUCCAUAAUGGACAAGUCAAGACAAUAAAAAUCUUUGGAAAAUCUGCCUCAAAUCUCAGUGCACCAAACCCCACUAUGUCCUCAGCAAGGAUUCCAGGUUUCUUCAGCACAGUGGAGUGAUAUUAAGCAUGUAACACCUAACCCAAGUCCCAGACAGUAUAUUAGUAGAAGAAAAGAUCAGCUAAUAAAUAUGAAUUCAAAAGUGAGUAAAUAAAUUUU